GGGGGUAUAGAUCAGUGGUAGAUCGCUCGCUUUGCAUGCGAGAGGUCCAGGGUUCAAGCCCCUGUGUCUCCA
rnacentral:tRNA from 1 species